rnacentral:lncRNA from 1 species
UUUGAGAAGAGGCCUGCCUGGCUCAAGCCUCCGGUCUCCUUGGGGCCUGCUCCUUCCUCCCGACUCACCCCUGCUUUCUACGUGCACCUUAGCUGUCAUUCAAGACAAGUCCUGUCUUCACAGCUGGCAAAGGCCCUGAAUGAAUGAACCACCUCCCAGCACACAGGCAGGUGCCAGGUUUUUCCUUCGUGGAGGGAUGAUGCUGGCUUUCUGUUUGCAGCAAGCUGUCUUGGAUCACCUGUGUGACUUGGGACAAGUGAAAUCCCUGGUUCCUUAUAUAAAAGUGACAGCAAGGGAGGCAUGAGCGCCAGAAUCCGCCCUGCUGAGCCAACAGGCGGCUGCGGCCAUAUGAAGCGCAUUAACGAUUAAUAAUUUCCAGUUGUUGCUUCGCGGGCUCCCCGGGCCUCUGCACCUCCGCAGGCUCCUGCUCCCCCCGCCCCCUAACCGCCAGGUCUGAAGCUGUUAGCGCCUCCUGGGUCCCGCUGGGACAGGGCAAGGGAUCAACGCGCCCCCAGGGC